rnacentral:rRNA from 1 species
UACGGGGGGGGUAAGCGUUGUUCGGAAUUACUGGGCGUAAAGGGCUCGUAGGCGGCCAACUAAGUCAGACGUGAAAUCCCUCAGCUUAACUGGGGAACUGCGUCUGAUACUGGAUGGCUUGGAUUUGGGAGAGGGAUGCGGAAUUCCAGGUGUAGCGGUGAAAUGCGUAGAUAUCGGGAGGAACACCGGUGGCGAAGGCGGGUCUCUGGGCCGAUACUGACGCUGAGGAGCGAAAGCGUGGGGAGCGAACAGG